GGGUAUGGGGUAACAGUCUCAACAGGCCACUUUGGAACAGAAGAUAAUGCAGAUUCAUCAAUUUCUGCAGGAGAUGAAGUUGGAUGCAAUGGAAGACAAACUGCGCUAUAAGAAAGUAUAGAUUAAUGGCCUGAUGGCAUAGACUGACCCAGCAGAAUUGAAGAUUAUGCUAGCUUUAGUGUACUAAUAAUCUUAAUUUUAAUAACGACAGGAGGCGAGUAUUUUGCAUAUCUCUCUUUACUAACUCCAUACAGCAGUAAAGAGACACAUAGAAAAAAAGAACCCAUCACAGGAGAGCAGGAU